rnacentral:lncRNA from 1 species
AGCAUUUACACAAUUCCUAAUGUCUCCGUCUCUUGAUGCACUAUUGCUUUAAUAUUCAUAAUAAAUAUUCUUCUAGCUUUCUGCUAUAAAAUAGUCUAUGUAGCAAAAUGUCACACAGCACAACAGAACAGAACAGCAGUAGGGUUACCAAAAAAACCAAUCAAAACCAAUGAUAAUCCUUUCACUCGCCUGGGCCCCCCCAUGAGGCUAGUUACAGCCUUAGAAAUAAAUGGUUUCCAAGGCUAGAAAUUGAAACCAGAAGGGGAAAUGGGGGCAAAUAAAGAUGGCUGUAACUGGAGUGUGGGGGAACAAUGAAAACCAGAGUAGGCAAGGGUGAGUGGUGUUGGCUUGGGUUCCAGGUAUCAACUUCAAAAGAAGUACAAGAGGUAUCUCACUUUAAUACCUUCUGCUAAGAAAACAGAGCUUGAAAUAAGAUGAAUCCAUCUGGGACCUAUCAAAGGAGUUUUGGCUGACAGAAUUUGUUAUAAUGUCUGCCAGUUUACCUAGAAGAGACCCCCAGAGGCUGGACCCCAGGUCUGGCACAAUAGUGAUGGUAUUUCAAAGGGAAAGGUGGAGCUAGAGUCAUGGGAGAUAUAAGAAGCUGGUGAGGGUGGAGGCAGAGGGAGGCAUAGCACAUAGGCUCCAUCACCCCUCACUAGCUGGUUGAAAGGCCCCUUGGCUUGGCUGCUCCAUGGACUAUAGGUAGUAAGGUGAUGUUAUCAACGCCACACAUCCCAAUCCCUAUCAUCCUCCUUCCAUGAUGACCUUGAGUUGGAGUUGUUAGUUAUUGGAAAGAGGCAUAGAUGGGGAAAAGGAAGAAGGGGAGGGAAAAGAAAGGAGAAAAUGAUGAGUAAAAGGAGAGGAAGGAAGGAAAUAGGAAAAGGGUAAAGGGAGUCAAAUAUACAGAAGGUCUCAAAGAUGUCACCCUGAAUUCUUGCCAAGGUCCCUGAAGGAUCUAAAUCAGGACUGAAAAUAGAUGCUUCUUUUCAGGAUUAUUAACAACUCCCCAUAUGUCCUAUCAAUUGAGGGGCACUGGGGGCAGGUCAAUGUGCUAGUUUAUACCAAAGAUCUGACCCAGAUUCCUUCCUCUACAACCAAUGGCUUUACCAUCAAUAGCUCACCCAAAGGCAUAUAAUUCACCUUCCCAUCUACCCCCAACACUAACUACAACCCUUCCCCAUGACUUCUCUGUCCUUCCUCCACAACAGAGGGAGGGACAAGAAGCCUGCCCAGCCAAGUCACCAGGAGAAGGGAGAUUUAGGAUAACAUAAUGCCAUAUUUCAACUUAUAAUUUGCCAACAAAUGAUGCUGAAUUUAUAGGGUCACGGGAUCAUAGAGUCUAGAGCUAGGGUGCCCCCCUCACCCAGCUCAUCAAUUCCCCUAACUUUCUAGAAAUAAAGCUUCAAGCUGGAAGGAGGCCCAAUCAUCCAAGAUUUCAAGAGCUUCCAUGGUCAGGACAAAAACAUCAAGCUACAACAUUCGGGGCCCAAUAUUUCAACCCCAAUAUUCUAUGGCAUGCACUUUAGCCCAACCUGCCAACAUCUUCCAAAUCCACUGAAAACAUACAAGCCAGCAUGCAAGAGGCAAGUCCACUAAACAGGUGGAAUCCCACCCACCCUACCCCCCACCCACCCUGCCCAGCCCCAAGCAUUGUGGACAGCAGUGUUUCCCAAACUCAUUGGCCACGUAAAUGUUGGCAUAACCUCUGGAAAAAAGAGGGUUCAAAGACAAUUUAAAGCCACCAUAUUAAACCAAUUAACUCUACUUUUAUGCUGAAAAUUGCUUUAUGUAUUUUUAAUGCAUAAAUAAUUUAACAUUUUUAGAGGUAAAACAUUUCUUUAAAACUUUCUCACAGAUUUUGAAUUUUUUCAACCCUAUUCAAAGAACCACACAGGGUCCUGUAAAACAUAGUUUGGGAAACUCUGGUCUACAGGGUCAAAGAGACGGACACUAUUGAAGCAAUUAUCAGCACAAAGAAAUAGCCUAACCUUCUAGUAUAGCAAUGGAGGGGUUGGAGGCCCCAGAGACCUAUAUUGAAAGCCUACACUGAGCAAAUUCACUGGAAAAAUGAUUGGCCAAUGAUAUUCUCUUUACCAGGCCCAAAGCAGCCCAACACAAGCAAACUAGGUACAAAAUGGUAGGUGCCCCAUUAGCUCCAACAGCUCUGUAAGUUGGGAUCUCCAAGGAGGAGUCCAAGAAGAGGAGGACACAGCCUUAUAAACAUAGAACGUUAGAACUGGAAGAGACCUCAGAAAUCAUCUAGUUCGACUCUCUUUACAAUGGAGAGAUCAUAUGACUUGCCCAAAGACCCACUGCGAGUGAGUGCCAAGAGUAGCUAGACUCCAGGUCCUCCAACUUGUUCCAUGAUACUACACAGCUUGGGUACCCUUACAAUUGGCACCCCCCAUCUUUUGUCCUUCACACUGGUGGCAAACUCAUGGGGCCAUAAAUUUUUCACCCCAUACUGCCCAAUCCUGAAAAGGAAUUCUCUCUUCUAUUGAAUUUCCCAAGAAAGAAGAAACUUCUAUUGGAAGCGAGAGAUUGCUGAAGGGACAGGACGCCUAGAGUCGGGGCCCCAUUUCCCAAAGCACCCUCUUUUUUCUUUUUCCCAAGCAUGGCUUCCUCUAUUACUUGCCUCCCAAACCCUCCCUAACAGGAUCCUUUGGGGUUGCUUUUGGGGUGGAGGAAGCUGGAGGUGGGGGAGAACAGAGGUCCAUAUUCAAAGGGACCCGGAGGGAAGCGAGUGAAAGGAUUACCUCAGUUUGAUGCUGAGUGCAAAUCAUAUUUAUAUAUGUGCUAAAUACGGUUACUCUAUUGCAGUUUUCCACUAAAUCACAGCAUACAGAAUCAAAGGUUUGCAUUUUGUAUGGAAUGUAUCCAAAGAGGCCAGCACCACAGUAAGACAGUUUGCAAUCACACACCCUGAUUUGGGACGAGAUAAAGUUCAGCGAAAUUUUGUGGGUUUUUUUUUUUUUUUUUUUUUGUGGUCAAAGUCGGUUUUCAUCGUACC